GAGUUGGUCUUUAUUUAUUUUGGUUACUCCAAGGCCAUCCUUUCUGUUCUUUCGAGUUUGCGUCCUUCAUUUUUUGCUUUUGUGGCCUAAACUUAGAGGAGGCUCUAGCCAACGAUGUAUGUUCUGUCCUUCAAAGAGAACAUCAUAACAGAGCUGCAGAGUUUGUGGUCAAGGAUGUCUAAUUAAUUCAGGCAAAGCAUUUUGAAUUUGAUGUUCCAAAUGAUUUCUUGGUGAUGGGCAAAGACUGGCGAAGCAUUAAAGGAAACAGUUUAGUGUGAAGUAAGAGCACCCAAAAAGAAGUCCAGGUAAAGGUCAAAGCAGCUAGCAUAAAAGCAUCACAAACUAUUUAUCGAUGUGCUGCUAUCCUUAUUAGUCUCUUUAAUAUGACAACUAUGUAAUUAUUUCUAUAAAUAGUUUGUAAGAAAUUUAUUCACGAGAGCACAUGAAAGUUACAAAAUUGAAUCUGAUAUGGAGUUGCUUGGUAUUUUUUAAUUAA